rnacentral:tRNA from 1 species
GGAGGUAGAGCCCAGUGGUAGAGUGCCUGCCUAGUAUGCAUGAAGUCCUGGGUUCAAUCCCCAGGACUUCCA